UACGUAGGGUGCAAGCGUUGUCCGGAAUUAUUGGGCGUAAAGGGCUCGUAGGCGGUCCAUCGCGUCGGGAGUGAAAAGCUGGGGCUUAACCCCCAGUCCUGCUUCCGAUACGGGUGGACUAGAGGUAGGUAGGGGAGAACGGAAUUCCUGGUGUAGCGGUGAAAUGCGCAGAUAUCAGGAGGAACACCGGUGGCGAAAGGCGGUCCAC
rnacentral:rRNA from 1 species